AAUAAGGUGGUGAUGAUAAAACCCAUUUCACCGGCAAUGAGCUUACAAUGUGCCAGGUAGUGAGUUAAGCACUUCAAGCUGCACUGUAUCUCGUAAGAAAAAAGAGAAAAAGUAAGGUAAAGGUGGACAUCAGGAAGUUGUCUUUCUCCAUUCCUCAACUCUACUUCUCUCACACUUAUCAGAGAGCUACCAAGACACAAGUCUUGUGAGACUGGAGAUCUGGAGAAAAAGAAAACCCAGAGAGGUGAUCACAACAGUCCCCACUGCUUUUCCCCCGCCAGGCAUUGGCUGAGUCAGAGGCGGCUGCCGAGCGGCUGAGAAAUCAGGGCUGUGAAGAUGAGAAACCAAGCUGAGAUUCCAGCGGUCUCACAUGCUGAGGGAACAAACAUUGAUGCAAGCUCAAAAUGAUGACUGACUGAGUAUGUGCUCUUAUCCCAUGGAAUGUCAAUGAUGUGAAAAUCCAAAUAUACUGUC
rnacentral:lncRNA from 1 species